GUAAUUUGCCGACAGUCCGCCGGCGAAGAAGAUAAGCUUACCAAAGAAGAAAAAACACAAUCGCAACGGCGGGCCAACAUGGAGGCAGUUUUUAGGGAUGUUGUCAAAGUCAUAAUUAGAUGUCGACACUGUGAUGAAAGAAAAGCACGCAUCCGCGUCACCAUUGAGCGUCAGUCGAGCACAAGUGCCGUUUGCAAACGAGAUCUUCUGGUAAGAUUGACCAAUGACGAGGAUCCGCAUUUUUUCUUCAGCCUCACAAUUUCUGAGGAAGAUUUCCAAAGUUUGAAAGUCCAGCAUUGAUCCAGUUAUUGAUUGAAUUUGCGUCAUUCCCUGAGAUGCUGGUGCAGCUUCUUCGUCAAUGUCAGUCAGAGCAGAAUUGCAGCCAUCCCAGGUACUCCGCUGCCCCCCCCCCC